GUUCUGCGCUCUUCAAGUGGCCCAGAACAACCCAAAAGGGCUCCACACCUCCUGCCUGUUGCAUGCCUGCUAUGCAAGGAGAACAGAUAUAUCAACAUCUGGCACAACAGAAAGAGGCAGAUCAACUCCUUCGUGCUGCUGAGGGGAAGAAGGAUGAACACCUGUUGCUUCAAAUCCGUGGAAGAGGCCAUCUAUCACCACAGUUGCUUCGCAAAUUACACAAGAUACCUGAGAGGAACAAAGAGAGAGGUUUCUGAAGAGGCAAAUCCGUAUCAGGCAGGCUACAGACAUUUCUGUCAGACAGUGGUGGAAGAGCACCUACUGGCAAACCGUGAAGUGUUGAGACUUUCACGGCUAAAUGACCUCUUUAAGGACAUUGUUAGAGAUAAGGAAGGACUGGACAUUUCGACUUCUAAAGCAUUUAGCUUAAAAUCAAGGCUUCAUAAGUCCCAUCCAUGUCUUAAAUUCCUUAAAGCAGCCAGAAAUGACUUUGUCUAUGUAGAGGACCUAACUGCUGAAGAGGUCAUCCAGGAUGAACCGGCACAGCCUUCAUCAGACAGCAGUGACUCAAAGGAGGAUGGCAUGGAACCCAGUCAUCAACACAAGAAUGACCCUGCAAGCAUAGACAGACACCUGUACCAUUCAGCCAUGCUGCUGAAAGAGAUCACAGAGACCAAGUGUAAAGUGACUCCAAAAAUGCCCUGGCCACCAACAUCACAAGACCUUAAGAUGGACACUGGCUCCAGUGUUGCCAGUGCAAAGCACUAAAAUGUGUGCAGGGGGAGAUGCACAUGCAAACAGCACCAGCUACCAUGCACAGACAUGUGUGCAUGUAUUUACUGCUCCAAUUCUGCAGGACAUGAAACAUAAGAGGAAAAAAAGAGAGCAAGCUUCAUGGGCAUGCGUAUGCCAAAUUUGUGGCUUUCAUAGCACUUUUUUGUAUAAAGUUCAUCUUGUUCAAGUUAAUUUUUUUCUGGUGUCAGUUCAUUUAAUGUCCAUAUGAUAACCUACGCUUGUAUAUCCUAGUCACUGAUGCACAACAACUGAAGCUCUAACAAAACUACAAACUUCAUCUCAAAAAAAUAGAAACUAAUUAAAUAUGUAUCAAUAGCAAAGCUGAUCAGAUCGGGAAAUCUAACGUGUUGGACAUCUAAUUACUGCCACUUGUUAUAUUAAAUAUCUGCAGCUGUUCCUGGUGGAUCUGGACAUGCUACCUGCAGCGACGUUACAUUUCAUUAAACACAAGCUUCGUUUGCACUCAUUGCACAAAAUUUUCAUAUUAAAAAUAUUACAUGAUAAUCGAGUAAUUAAUAAUAUCUGACCUUUUUCUCAUUUAAACGUGUUGGACAUCUAGUUACUGCCGCUUGUUAGCUUAAACAACUGCAGCUGUUGUGACUGGUGACAUGCUACCUGCAGCGACGUUACGUUUCAUUAAACAUUAAAGCUGCUGUCCGGAGUUUGAAUCACAGCGUCU